CAAAUGGAGCUGGCAAUUUUGAGAAGAUCUGGCAAAAGGGUAUGGUGGCAGUGUGGAAUAAACUGAAGGAAGUAUUAGCCCUGACAAACUGAAGGCUGGUGAUUUGCAGUCAGGUGGUAAGAACACUGUCAUUUCUCCAAUCCCUGCUCUGCUCCCAGAAGGGCAAGAAAGUUCCUUCCCAAAUGCUGGUAAAGGAUUUCUGCUGCCUCAGCUUAUUGCAGAACUUAAAGUUGUAGACCAUAACCCUGUAACUGGCCAGUGCACAUGCAGAUUUGGGAGGUGCUAUGAUGGGACAUGCCUGCCACUUUCCCUCUUAGUGGAAACCGAUGAAGUAUCUGGCAGGAUCAGUUACUUUAAGGUGUGAUUUCCUGCUGGAAUAAGAUCUGGAGGCCAAAGGGGAGUGGCGGGUGGGUCUAGAUCUAUCAAUGCAAAAGACCAAUAGGAGCAAUAAGCUUCGAGUUUUUCUAUGUGUCUCCUCAAAACACAAUAGUCAGAGCUUUUUCCUGGAGCUGAAGAUUUGAAUCUCUUAUUCUCUAUUUGGAGCCAGAGGGAGAGGAGAAAACAUUGAUGCCAUUUCCUGAAAAACAGGCUGAAUUUGAUCUCAGCUUGUUAUUCCUGCCUUAGCCAUGCACUGGAACAAUGUGUCGUGCUACUCAAGUCAUUUUAGAAAUAUAUUUUCCUUUGCCCUUCUCCAGCUCCCUCCAAGUUGCUUUUAGAAGUGAUUGCUCACACGCAGGCUUGUGCAAAAAUUGGAACCGAAUUAUUACUUUGUCCUCAGAGGAUUACAACCUUUAGAAACAUCUGCAUCUUGCCAAAUGAGGUAUGAAAUCCUGAUUUACACCAUCAGUUUUCUAUGCAU